GCGGAGGGAUCAUUACACAACAAAAUAUGAAGGCCUGGCUUUGCGGCCGGCUGAAAUAUUUUUUUCACCCAUGUCUUUUGCGCACUUGUUGUUUCCUGGGCGGGUUCGCCCGCCACCAGGACCAAACCAUAAACCUUUUUUUUAUGCAGUUGCAAUCAGCGUCAGUAUAAACAAUGUAAUUAUUACAACUUUCAACAACGGAUCUCUUGGUUCUGGCAUCGAUGAAGAACGCAGCGAAAUGCGAUACGUAGUGUGAAUUGCAGAAUUCAGUGAAUCAUCGAAUCUUUGAACGCACAUUGCGCCCUUUGGUAUUCCAAAGGGCAUGCCUGUUCGAGCGUCAUUUGUACCCUCAAGCUUUGCUUGGUGUUGGGCGUUUUUGUCUCCCUCUUUGCUGGGAGACUCGCCUUAAAACGAUUGGCAGCCGGCCUACUGGUUUCGGAGCGCAGCACAUAUUUUGCACUCUGUAUCAGGAGAAAAGGACGGUAAUCCAUCAAGACUCUUACGAUUUUUAACUUUUGACCUCGGAUCAGGUAGGGAUACCCGCUGAACUUAAGCAUAU
rnacentral:rRNA from 1 species